rnacentral:tRNA from 4 species
GUGUCCGUAGCUCAGCUGGAUAGAGCAACAGCCUUCUAAGCUGUGGGUCGCGGGUUCGAAUCCCUCCGGACACGCCA